GACUGAAACGUUCAAAGCAAUUAUGCCGGAAUUGUUUUAAGGCAAACACUGAAGUGUAGCAUUCGAGUGUAGAGUGGUGUGUAGACUUAUGCUCCCAUAG